GGCGCUAUAGCCAAGUGGUUACGGCGACAGAUUAGAAUCAGGAAGAGGCUGUGCACGUGAUCAUCUGUUCCUCUUCGAGGGCGCAGGUUCAAAUCCUGCUGGCGUCG
rnacentral:tRNA from 1 species